AGAAGUUGUUGAUGGCAUUUAUUUUCUUCAUCUCCCAGUUGCUCAUAGUGGAAAUGACUUCACUUGGUAGCCCAGGCUGGUCUGAAACCCACUGUCUUCUGGCCUCAAUACACUCCCAGAUGCUGAGAUUACAGUUUAAUUCUCUAAGUGACAUCCUCCAGUGCAAAGAUGAAAAAUGACCCGACAUGAGUGGACCCCCAUUUCAAAUUCUUGGGAGACGGGAAGAGGAAGUUGGAGCCCUUUGAAUCAUUGAUGCAUUGUACUAAUCAUGAUAAACCAAAUUUGCAUUUAAAAGUGAUUACAUUGAAUCCCUGUAGACUUAGGAGGGGAUUUUUACCCAACUGAGCCUCUGUACAGCAGCUUUGUCCAUAUUUACACAUGGAUUCCUGACCCAGGAAAUGAAGACAUAUAAAUUGAGAAAUAUCAGGAAGAAUCAUACUCCAACUGAGAUGCCUGAGAACCAUGUACUUUGUUAACAGCCACACCAUGGAAUUGAGCUUCUCAUUGUCAACCCCAGGCUAUAGAGUGGGUAUCACCACAGUCACAGACAUUACACUAAGAAUUAUUGAAUUUUAGUACCUACAGCCUGCCAAAAAGCCACAGGAUAGACAGUGAAUGUCAUGGCCCA